GGAUCCACUACCAUCUCCACCUCCUGUUGACAAAGAACUGAAAAUGAGUAAUCAAAUUCUAUAGUUCAUCAUCAGAACAAUAUAAACUAAAUGCUGUUUUGCUUCUCACUAUCCUAUAGAUAGUCCAUAUAAUCAUGCAGCCCAACUUACUUAUUAAGUUCCAACUGAGAAAUGCAGAUCAGGAUAAUACAGGGUUUUGCAAUUAGAGGUCAAUUUAGAUUGGAGAAUUUCAG
rnacentral:misc_RNA from 1 species